AUUGAACGCUGGCGGCAGGCCUAACACAUGCAAGUCGAACGGUAGCACAGAGAGCUUGCUCUCGGGUGACGAGUGGCGGACGGGUGAGUAACGUCUGGGAAACUGCCCGAUGGAGGGGGAUAACUACUGGAAACGGUAACUAAUACCGCAUAACGUCGCAAGACCAAAGUGGGGGACCUUCGGGCCUCACACCAUCGGAUGUGCCCAGAUGGGAUUAGCUAGUAGGUGGGGUAAUGGCUCACCUAGGCGACGAUCCCUAGCUGGUCUGAGAGGAUGACCAGCCACACUGGAACUGAGACACGGUCCAGACUCCUACGGGAGGCAGCAGUGGGGAAUAUUGCACAAUGGGCGCAAGCCGGAUGCAGCCAUGCCGCGUGUAUGAAGAAGGCCUUCGGGUUGUAAAGUACUUUCAGCGGGGAGGAAGGCGGUGAAGUUAAUAACUUCACCGAUUGACGUUACCCGCAGAAGAAGCACCGGCUAACUCCGUGCCAGCCGCCGCAGUAA
rnacentral:rRNA from 1 species